rnacentral:rRNA from 1 species
CAGUCAUACCAACGGGAAAUCAACCUAUUGAGCUUGGUCUCGUGGGUUUUGAAGAGUUUCAAAGCCUUCGGAUUCGCGGGAUUGGGGAUCUCUUGGUGUACUUUUUCGUACGGUUAGUCAACAUCGGUUUUGAAUGUCAUAAAUAACUAGAGGAUGUAGCUUCGAUCUCGUAUCGAAGUGUUAUAGACUC